rnacentral:rRNA from 1 species
UACGAAGGGAGCUAGCGUUGUUCGGAAUCACUGGGCGUAAAGCGCACGUAGGCGGAUGUGUCAGUCAGGGGUGAAAUCCCGGAGCUCAACUUCGGAACUGCCUUUGAUACAGCACGUCUUGAGUCCGAUAGAGGUGGGUGGAAUUCCUAGUGUAGAGGUGAAAUUCGUAGAUAUUAGGAAGAACACCUAUGGCGAAGGCAGCUCGCUGGGACGGUACUGACGCUGAGGCGCGAAAGCGUGGGGAGCAAACAGG